CGGGGUGGAGUAACGCGUGGAUAACCUGCCUCACACAGGGGAGUAACAGUUAGAAAUGACUGCUAAUACCGCAUAAGCGCACAGUACCGCAUGGUACAGUGUGAAAAACUCCGGUGGUGUGAGAUGGAUCCGCGUCUGAUUAGGUAGUUGGUGGGGUAACGGCCCACCAAGCCGACGAUCAGUAGCCGACCUGAGAGGGUGACCGGCCACAUUGGGACUGAGACACGGCCCAA
rnacentral:rRNA from 1 species